rnacentral:rRNA from 1 species
GUACACUCCUACGGGAGGCAGCAGUGGGGAAUUUUGGACAAUGGGCGAAAGCCUGAUCCAGCAAUGCCGCGUGUGUGAAGAAGGCCUUCGGGUUGUAAAGCACUUUUGUCCGGAAAGAAAUCCUUGGCUCUAAUACAGUCGGGGGAUGACGGUACCGGAAGAAUAAGCACCGGCUAACUACGUGCCAGCAGCCGCGGUAAUACGUAGGGUGCGAGCGUUAAUCGGAAUUACUGGGCGUAAAGCGUGCGCAGGCGGUUUGCUAAGACCGAUGUGAAAUCCCCGGGCUCAACCUGGGAACUGCAUUGGUGACUGGCAGGCUAGAGUAUGGCAGAGGGGGGUAGAAUUCCACGUGUAGCAGUGAAAUGCGUAGAGAUGUGGAGGAAUACCGAUGGCGAAGGCAGCCCCCUGGGCCAAUACUGACGCUCAUGCACGAAAGCGUGGGGAGCAAACAGGAUUAGAAACCCCGGUAGUCCC